ACUCGACAUGCGCGACAUUGUUUUUUCCAUCGAUUUUCCUUCAAUUUGACGUCACGAUAUUCGUCGACGCAGUUUGACAGUUCUCUUCAGUUGGUCUUGUUUGGACUUGAUCAAAUCAGAGAAACUUUGUACCGAAUCGAACCAGUUUACGUUGCCGAAAGUUAGUGUGGAUUUUGGCCGGUUGAUUGAUUUCCUGAUUUCGGCCUUCGUGAUGGAGGAGGAGGAGGAGGAGGAGAACGGGUCACAUCGUUGCUCCAGCGGGCCAUGCCGGAAGACGGGAAGGGAAGCACCCGGUCUGCGAUCGAGGAAGCGGUGCGUGCCAUACCCAAGGAGGAGGACAAUGGAACGGCAAGUAAUGGAUGUUUCCCCCAAUGGAACAGAAGGAGGGAGAAAGACCAUUCCCCUUCCCGUCAAGUCUUGGGGAGGUGUACAAUGUUCCGUGUGAAAAGAAAGGUGGAGGAAGACGGCGUUUCUGAUCCGCCGGAGGUUUUUAUACGGUAACCAAAAAUAUUCCAAUCGAAUCCUGCUGACAACCCAGCAUUUCCGUGUUGUCCCACGGAACGGAAGCUGUAACGAUCCCAAAAACACUUGCACCGGAAGUGCGUAAACCGACCUUGUCCGGACUCCGGUGCCCAUCCGUUCGUGGGAUGCCGAGGCGACGAGAUGAACUGAAAGGCCAACUGGAAGACAACGCCAAAAACCACGUGAAGAUCGCGACACACAACAAGUAAAAUUAAUGAAUGUUUGUGAAAUCGAGUGAAAAAGAUUAAUUUACAGAAAAAUACAUAUAAACAUAAUUUA